UCUUUCAUCUUGUAUUAAGU
rnacentral:snRNA from 1 species